UUGCGAUGAUGUCUGAAUUUCUUCACCUGAAGCUGAUUAUGUGGAACAAAACACGAGCUUUUUAACACUGAGCGAU